UACGGGAAGGGCAAGCGUUAUCCGGCGUGACUGGGCGUAAAGAGUCCGUAGACGGUAAAGUAGGUUUAUUGUUAAAAUUUUUAAAACUUAAUUUUAAGAAAGCAAUAAAUACUGCUUUACUUUGAGUUUAAUAUAGAAAAGUGGAAUUUUAUAUGGUAGGGGUGAAAAUCCGUAGAUAUAUAAAGGAAUGCCAACAGCGAAGGCAAACUUUUUUGGUAUAAACUGACGUUGAGGGACGAAAGUGUGGGGAG
rnacentral:rRNA from 1 species